ACCUGGGUGGCUCAGGUGGUUAAGCAUCUGAUUUCAGCUCAGGUCAUAAACUCAUGGUUCGUGGGUUUGAGCCCCACAUUGGGUU
rnacentral:tRNA from 1 species